GUAACACGUAGCCAACCUGCCCUGGAGACACGGACAACCCCGGGAAACUGGGAUUAAUCCGUGAUAGGUCAUCUCAUCUGGAAGGAGAGAUGGCUUAAAGGGGUACGCGGGCUUCUUCUGCGUAUCCGCUCCAGGAUGGGACUGCGUCCGAUCAGGCUGUUGGCGGGGUAAUGGCCCACCAAACCUGUAACCGGUACGGGCCUUGAGAGAGGUGGCCCGGAGAUGGACACUGAGAGAAGGGUCCAGGUCCUACGGGGCGCAGCAGGCGCGAAGCCUUCGCAAUGCGCGAAAGCGUGACGAGGUUAAUCCGAGUGGCCCCCGCUGAGGGGGUCUUUUGUCAGCUGUAAAUAGGCGGGCGAAUAAGGGGAGGGCAAGCCUGGUGUCAGCCGCCGCGGUAAUACCAGCUCCUCGAGUGGUCGGGGCGAUUAUUGGGCCUAAAGCAUCCGUAGCCGGUUCCGUAGGUCCUCUGUUAAAUCCAACCGCUUAACGGUUGACAUGCAGAGGAUACCGCGGGACU
rnacentral:rRNA from 1 species